rnacentral:lncRNA from 1 species
AUGUUCUUCUUCUUCUGCUGGAAAUGUUCAGAGGCCCAUAAGUGGACAGCAGAGGUCCAGUGUCCCUUUGAGUUCCCACCUAUGGGACAGAAGGUGCUGGAAAAAAAAAUACUCUUUCAGCAUAUUUUACAAGGUUUGAGUUCAGAAAAAGAACAAGAGUUCAGAGAAGGUAAUGAAGAGCAACAAACAGAAAGAGGAGAGGAAGAAGAAGCAGAGAGGCCUGUUGAGGAACAGAGAUUCAGAAGAACAGAAGAAGAACAAGAGCACACAGACGCUGAUAGAACACAGAGUCCAGACUUAAAAGAGCUUGUAGAAGAAGAAGAAGACAUUUUAUCAGAGAACAAUGAAGAAGUGAGGAUGAAGAGAAGAUUGGAGGAUAAAGAGCAGAUCAAAGGACAACAGACAGAAAGAGGAGAGGAAGAAGAAGCAGAGAGGACUGUUGAGGAACAGAGAUUCAGAAGAACAAGUAAGAAGAACAAGAGACAACACAGACGACUAAGAGAAGAUUUGGAGGAUAAAGAGCAGAUCGAAGGACAACAGACAGAAAGAGGAGAGGAAGAAGAAGAAGAGAGGACUGUUGAGGAAGAAGGAGAGAUGAAAGAGACUAAAAACACUACACAGACAAAAGAGAUGAAGAAACAGACAGAGAAAAGAAAGAUUAUUGCACUUAAGAUGAAUGAAAUGAAAGACAGAAGAGAGAUAGAGAGAGUCAUAUUAAAACCAGAAAAAGACUGUAGAUAAAGGAAAAUGUUACACUCCUGUUACUCAUUAAUGUGAGAAAGAGUAACGCACAACGUGGCUAAUUAGUCCCUCCUUCUAAAUAAAAGAGUGAAUGGUUGAUUGUAAAAGUCACUCUUCAUCUCAACAUCUUUCAGAAGCUGCGGUUGCUGUAGUUUAUUCUGAGAUACGUGUGUAUGACUGCACAUGAGCAUCGGCUGCUGCAGACUGAAAAGAGCUUCUUUUUAAAUGCUUUAUGAACAUAGUUAACAUUGGCUCCUCAGUCUCGGGUGGCAUCUGUGGCUCAGUUUUGGUGAAGAUGAUACGAAUCCUAAAUGAUGAAUUCAGAUUUCAGAUUGCAUGCUUUGAUGACAAACCCUGCUUCAGUGUGUUUCUGCAGCUGUGGCUCAUGGCAGGUUGUGUUGUGUGUGGAGAAAGCUCUGUUGAGGUUAGUGCUAGGGUUAGGGGUUAGUUUGUGUUGUAGCAUUCAUCUUUGGUGACCUGCAGCUGACCCCGUCUCUGUUUUUGUGCUGCUGCUGGUGUUGUUGUAACACAGUGAUGUCACAUGAGGAUGCUGGGACGGUGCCUUUCACACACAAUAUCGAUCAAAUAAAAUCAUCCUCUAGUCCCUGAUUAACUAUACCUGCAUGUUUAUAUGUUUAUAUACUUGUCUAUUCAGUAAAUAUCUGGAUAUGAACAGCCAUAUUCUUAGACUAGAGGCUAGAUGUACAAGUGAUAUUAUAUUGUCAUAUAUUAGCACAUUGACACAGAUUGCUCCAAAUGUGUCUCAGUGAGGGGGCGGGGUCAAGAGCCGUGGGAACGGAGAGAGGCCGGUGGAGUAAGUAAUGAUGCUCCACUCACCGGUCUCGAGUCCACGGAGGAGCUCGGGGAGGAUAAAAGGAGGAGUGACGACAGUAAAGCACGAGAGAGGACCAGGCCUGAAAAAAGUGAUUUUGGAGAGUGGUAAAUAUAAUCUGUGGAAACCAUAUAAAAUGUACAUGAUUAUUGCAGCCAGCCAACGAAUUCUAAAGUAAUGGGUAAAUUCUACAUAUGCUACCCAUUCGUCAACAGUAAGAACCAUCACAUAGAAAAAUGCAGUAAAAUAUACCCCCAAAUUUUUGAGUGAGUGUGGGCGACGCUGGAUCCUCUCUCUGGCUGCUAUCGAACAGCAGAAGUGAAGCUAAGCUAUUUACAUAGGAGUGCUGUAUAUAUAUAUUUUUAAUUAUGAGAUAUUACACUUCACUUCUAUUCGGCUUUCGUUUGUUUAUCAUGCCAUUACUUGAAAUUAGAGUUUGAAUCUGUCGCUGGCGUCACCAUGGCCCGGGACACAUCAAGCCACGUCGGACAACAUCGGACCGUCGGUCAGGCAACUUGGUUUAUUGUGUUCCACGCGUCGGUUUGACGUGUUCAAAUAAACAAAUUGACCCCGACGAAAGCAGACGUGCCGUUGCUAGGCUGAGAAUGCGUUGACACGCAACGGCACGUCUGCUUUCGUCGCUGCUAGUUCUUUGCCAUCGGUUUGUUGUGUCCCGGGCUUUCACCGUCUGCACAACUGCCGGUAAGUUGAAUGCCAUCGUGGUGUGCCUUUUACAAGAUUAGUCAGCAUGCAUGACUGUGUGUGACCGACCCUUAAACACUUCAUUUGCACAUAAGAGUAAGUGUAAUGGGUUGAUUUUAUUUAUGUUGUCAUAUCAAAUAUUUGUGCACUUUUUCAAGUAGAUAUUGAAACAAUUACUUAACAGCUGUAUGGCCAGGAAUCCUGUCUUAUUUAUUUAUUGUAAUGUUUAUUUAACAGGGACGAUUGCCACAGAAAAUGGGAAAAUGUGAUGCAUACUUACUCUCCUUUUUUCUCCUCCUUUCCUCAUCUACCUCUUCUUAAAAUAAUAAUGACAAUCAAAGAUUAUUUAUUGAAAUUUCCACUGAACUAAAUAUCUGUUUAUUGCUUUGGCAGAAGAAUAUUGAAGCAAACCUAUGCAAGUAAGCUCAUCAACUAUUAAUAACCUGUCUCAAUUUCUUUUCUUUCUCUGUCUCUACAGCUGAGGAAACACACACCAAACAACAAUGGCGGUCCAUUUAAGAGUCGUUUUAGAAGAACACAACAUUCAAAAGCUGAAACUUCCAACAGGAAUUCCAAAUACAGUGGAAGAUCUUGUUUCCAUAGUUACUGAAACUUUUCAAUUGCAUGGGGAAAUUGGACUACUAUACCAAGACAAACACUUUGACAAUGAGUUUUUCAGUGUCACCUCAACUGCUGACUUGUAUGACUUAGUCUAAUAAUAAGUAAAACCAAAACAUACAACAAAAGGUCCAUGACUCUGUACCAGAAGUGACAGACACAGCAGAUAAAGAGCAGUCCUCCUCCAAAUUGCCAGUAAUCAGAAGGAGAUAAAAAAAAAAAAAUAGAAUAAAUAAAUAAAAAAUAAAAUAAUAAUAAUAAUAAUAAUAAUAAUAAAACGAUUGUGAGAAGACACUUUUUUAUCUGGGAUUAAAACAAAUUAAAAACAUAGAAGAAAAAUACUGUGAACAUUCCUUUAAAAAUAAAUUAAUGUUAGUAUGUCUUAAUGUUAGACAUGAAUUAUUAAUACUCACUUCCUCUUAAGAUCAUGUUUUAGAAGAUUUUCAUUCCCAAAACUUCUGGAUCAUAAUGGGGAAGCACACACACACAAACAAAUUAAUAUCAAUUUGUUUAAUAAAGCUUACUACUUACUAUCUACUACUUACUAAUCUACUUACUAAGGGUGUAACGGUACAUGUAUUUGUACCGAACCGUUUCGGUAACCGAACGAAUACAGUUUUUUUGUUUGUUUGUUUGUUUGUUUUCUCAGGAAAUUCAAAUAAUAAACGCCGUUUUGACAGUCUUUGAUUUGGCAUGACAGAUCGCUGUAUAAAUGCAUUGGAGAGUCGCUUCUGGGACGGUUCAGAAACGUGCUGGUAUAAUCCCAACUCAAGCACUGUGUAAGCCCUUUAUUUUAGACAAGGGGAGGGGCGACAGUGGUAGUGCCCGUAGUAUCUGCCUUGUCUCAUUAAGGGAAAAAGACAAACACCUGUGCUGUACAGGUCCUUCUCAAAAAAUUAGCAUAUUGUGAAAAAGUUCAUUAUUUUCCAUAAUGUAAUGAUAAAAAUUUAACUUUCAUAUAUUUUAGAUUCAU